CUCCAUGAUAGCAGGCGACCGAACAAGUAGGUGGACAAAGCUGUCUGAAGGUGUGGACCACCGGUUUGCCUCACACCCCUUCUCUCGCAGUGGCAAAAAAAAAACUGGAACCGAGCACUGUCGCCAUUGGUAGGGGAGCCCUGAGGCAGAAUGCUUUCACCUGGC